rnacentral:rRNA from 1 species
GGGUUGUGAGGUUAAGCGACUAAGCGUACACGGUGGAUGCCCUGGCAGUCAGAGGCGAUGAAGGACGUGCUAAUCUGCGAUAAGCGCCGGUAAGGUGAUAUGAACCGUUAUAACCGGCGAUUUCCGAAUGGGGAAACCCAGUGUGACUCGUCACACUAUCAUUAACUGAAUCCAUAGGUUAAUGAGGCGAACCGGGGGAACUGAAACAUCUAAGUACCCCGAGGAAAAGAAAUCAACCGAGAUUCCCCCAGUAGCGGCGAGCGAACGGGGAGGAGCCCAGAGCCUGAAUCAGCAUGUGUGUUAGUGGAAGCGUCUGGAAAGGCGCGCGAUACAGGGUGACAGCCCCGUACACAAAAGCGCAUGUGCUGUGAGCUCGAUGAGUAGGGCGGGACACGUGGUAUCCUGUCUGAAUAUGGGGGGACCAUCCUCCAAGGCUAAAUACUCCUGACUGACCGAUAGUGAACCAGUACCGUGAGGGAAAGGCGAAAAGAACCCCGGCGAGGGGAGUGAAAAAGAACCUGAAACCGUGUACGUACAAGCAGUGGGAGCCCCACCACCAAAGCAUUCUCUGGUGUUGAAGGCCCUGCAAAGCAGCAUCGCGGUGGCGGAGCGUCGUUUGCGACGCCCAACACACAAAACAAGCGGUGAGUGCUUUGGGGUGGGGUGACUGCGUACCUUUUGUAUAAUGGGUCAGCGACUUAUAUUCUGUAGCAAGGUUAACCGUAUAGGGGAGCCGUAGGGAAACCGAGUCUUAACCGGGCGUUAAGUUGCAGGGUAUAGACCCGAAACCCGGUGAUCUAGCCAUGGGCAGGUUGAAGGUUGGGUAACACUAACUGGAGGACCGAACCGACUAAUGUUGAAAAAUUAGCGGAUGACCUGUGGCUGGGGGUGAAAGGCCAAUCAAACCGGGAGAUAGCUGGUUCUCCCCGAAAGCUAUUUAGGUAGCGCCUCGUGAAUUCAUCUCCGGGGGUAGAGCACUGUUUCGGCUAGGGGGCCAUCCCGGCUUACCAACCCGAUGCAAACUGCGAAUACCGGAGAAUGUUAUCACGGGAGACACACGGCGGGUGCUAACGUCCGUCGUGAAGAGGGAAACAACCCAGACCGCCAGCUAAGGUCCCAAAGUCAUGGUUAAGUGGGAAACGAUGUGGGAAGGCCCAGACAGCCAGGAUGUUGGCUUAGAAGCAGCCAUCAUUUAAAGAAAGCGUAAUAGCUCACUGGUCGAGUCGGCCUGCGCGGAAGAUGUAACGGGGCUAAACCAUGCACCGAAGCUGCGGCAGCGA